GAUGAACGCUGGCGGCGUGCUUAACACAUGCAAGUCGAACGGGAUCCAAGGGGUGCUUGCACUUUUUGGUGAGAGUGGCGAACGGGUGAGUAACACGUGAGUAACCUGUCCUUUUCUUUGGGAUAAGCAUUCGAAAGGGUGUUUAAUACCUUAUGUUCUGUCUGCCUCGCAUGGGGUGGGUGGGAAAGGCUUUGGCCGGAUUUGGGUGGGCUCGCGGUCUAUCAGCUUGUUGGUGGGGUGAUGGCUUACCAAGGCUUUGACGGGUAGCCGGCCUGAGAGGGUGGUCGGUCACAUUGGGACUGAGAUACGGCCCAGACUCCUGCGGGAGGCAGCAGUGGGGGAAAUUGCACAAUGGGAGAAAGCCUGAUGCAGCGACGCCGCGUGGGGGAUGAAGGCCUUCGGGUUGUAAACUUCUUUUGCUCUGAACAAGGCAUGCCAGUGGGUGUGUUGAGUGUAGGGGUUGAUUAGCGCCGGCUAACUACGUG
rnacentral:rRNA from 1 species